AACGAACGCUGGCGGCAUGCCUAACACAUGCAAGUCGAACGAGACCUUCGGGUCUAGUGGCGCACGGGUGCGUAACGCGUGGGAACCUGCCCUUAGGUUCGGAAUAACUCCCCUAAAGGGGUGCUAAUACCGGAUAAUGUCUUCGGACCAAAGAUUUAUCGCCUUUGGAUGGGCCCGCGUUGGAUUAGCUAGUUGGUAGGGUAAAAGCCUACCAAGGCGACGAUCCAUAGCUGGUCUGAGAGGAUGAUCAGCCACACUGGGACUGAGACACGGCCCAGACUCCUACGGGAGGCAGCAGUGGGGAAUACUGGACAAUGGGCGAAAGCCUGAUCAAGCAAUGCCGCGUGAGUGAUGAAGGCCUUAGGGUUGUAAAGCUCUUUUACACGGGAUGAUAAUGACAGUACCGGGAGAAUAAGCUCCGGCUAACUCCGUG
rnacentral:rRNA from 1 species